AGCGCGCAGCCCGCGGCCCAGCGCACCCGCAGCAGCGCCCGCAGCUCGUCCGCGCCAUGUUCCAGGCGGCCGAGCGCCCCCAGGAGUGGGCCAUGGAGGGCCCCCGCGACGGGCUGAAGAAGGAGCGGCUACUGGACGACCGCCACGACAGCGGCCUGGACUCCAUGAAAGACGAGGAGUACGAGCAGAUGGUCAAGGAGCUGCAGGAGAUCCGCCUCGAGCCGCAGGAGGUGCCGCGCGGCGCGGAGCCCUGGAAGCAGCAGCUCACCGAGGACGGGGACUCGUUCCUGCACUUGGCCAUCAUCCAUGAAGAAAAGGCACUGACCAUGGAAGUGAUCCGCCAGGUGAAGGGAGACCUGGCCUUCCUCAACUUCCAGAACAACCUGCAGCAGACUCCACUCCACUUGGCUGUGAUCACCAACCAGCCAGAAAUUGCUGAGGCACUUCUGGGAGCUGGCUGUGAUCCUGAGCUCCGAGACUUUCGAGGAAAUACCCCCCUACACCUUGCCUGUGAGCAGGGCUGCCUGGCCAGCGUGGGAGUCCUGACUCAGUCCUGCACCACCCCGCACCUCCACUCCAUCCUGAAGGCUACCAACUACAAUGGAGCCCUGUAAUGGCCGGACUGCCCUUCACCUCGCAGUGGACCUGCAGAAUCCUGACCUGGUGUCGCUCCUGUUGAAGUGUGGGGCUGAUGUCAACAGAGUUACCUACCAGGGCUAUUCUCCCUACCAGCUCACCUGGGGCCGCCCAAGCACCCGGAUACAGCAGCAGCUGGGCCAGCUGACACUAGAAAACCUUCAGAUGCUGCCAGAGAGUGAGGAUGAG
rnacentral:sRNA from 1 species